GGGGAAAGUUUAUACGGUAGAUGGUGAAUAGCAAAAUUCAGUGAAUCAUUCGAAUCUUCCGAACGCACCUUGCACCCUUUGGUAUCCCCAAAGGGUAUGCUCGUUUGAGUGUUAUU
rnacentral:rRNA from 1 species